rnacentral:rRNA from 1 species
AGAGUUUGAUCCUGGCUCAGGAUGAACGCUAGCGGCAGGCUUAAUACAUGCAAGUCGAACGGUUUAGUAGUAAUACUAGACGAGUGGCGCACGGGUGAGUAACGCGUACACAACAUACCCUAAACUGGAGAAUAGCCUUGGGAAACUGGGAGUAAUACUCCAUAAUAUAGUUGGUCGGCAUUGACCGGUUAUUAAAGAUUUAUUGGUUUAGGAUUGGUGUGCGUCUGAUUAGGUAGUUGGCGGGGUAACGGCCCACCAAGCCGACGAUCAGUAGGGGGCGUGAGAGCGUGAUCCCCCACACGGGUACUGAGACACGGACCCGACUCCUACGGGAGGCAGCAGUAAGGAAUAUUGGUCAAUGGGGGCAACCCUGAACCAGCCAUGCCGCGUGAAGGAAGAAGGCCCUCUGGGUCGUAAACUUCUUUUGGGAGGGAAGAAAAGUUAUCACUUGCUGAUAAUCUGACGGUACCUCCAGAAUAAGCGCCGGCUAACUCCGUGCCAGCAGCCGCGGUAAUACGGAGGGCGCAAGCGUUAUCCGGAUUCACUGGGUUUAAAGGGUGCGUAGGCGGUUAUGUAAGUCUGUAUUGAAAUUUUCUCGCUUAACGGGGAAACCGGUAUGGAUACUGUGUAACUUGAAACAGGUUGAGGUUGGCGGAAUGUGACAUGUAGCGGUGAAAUGCUUAGAUAUGUCAUAGAACAUCAAUUGCGAAGGCAGCUGACUGGACCUUGUUUGACGCUGAGGCACGAAAGCGUGGGUAUCGAACAGGAUUAGAUACCCUGGUAGUCCACGCCCUAAACGAUGCUUACUCGCUGUUUGUUUUUCGGAAUGAGCGGCUAAGCGAAAGCGAUAAGUAAGCCACCUGGGGAGUACGCCCGCAAGGGUGAAACUCAAAGGAAUUGACGGGGGUCCGCACAAGCGGUGGAGCAUGUGGUUUAAUUCGACGAUACGCGAGGAACCUUACCCGGGCUAGAAUGUGCGCGCCGUUUAUUGAAAGAUAGAUUUCCCGCAAGGGACGCAAAACAAGGUGCUGCAUGGCUGUCGUCAGCUCGUGCCGUGAGGUGUUGGGUUAAGUCCCGCAACGAGCGCAACCCCCGUUGUUAGUUGCCCAUAUUAAGUUAGGCGCUCUAAUGAGACUGCCCGCGUAAGCGAGGAGGAAGGUGGGGACGACGUCAAGUCAUCAUGGCCUUUAUGCCCGGGGCGACACACGUGCUACAAUGGCGGGUACAGAGAGUUGCCAAACCGCGAGGUGGAGCUAAUCUCACAAAGCCCGUCCCAGUUCGGAUUGGAGUCUGCAACCCGACUCCAU